rnacentral:rRNA from 1 species
UAAAGGAUUCUCUUCGGAGAUUCCACUUUGAGAUGGACCCGCGGCGCAUUAGCUAGUUGGUGAGGUAACGGCUCACCAAGGCAACGAUGCGCAGCCGACCUGAGAGGGUGAUCGGCCACAUUGGAACUGAGACACGGUCCAGACUCCUACGGGAGGCAGCAGUGGGGAAUAUUGCACGAUGGGGGAAACCCUGACGCAGCAACGCCGCGUGAAUGAAGAGGGCCUUCGGGUUGUAAAGUUCUGUCUUCUGGGACG